rnacentral:rRNA from 1 species
UACCAGCACCCCGAGUGGUCGGGACGAUUAUUGGGCCUAAAGCAUCCGUAGCCGGUUCUCUAAGUCCUCCGUUAAAUCCAUCUGCUUAACAGAUGGGCUGCGGGGGAUACUAUAGAGCUAGGAGGCGGGAGAGGCAAGCGGUACUCAGUGGGUAGGGGUAAAAUCCGUUGAUCCAUUGAAGACCACCAGUGGCGAAGGCGGCUUGCCAGAACGCGCUCGACGGUGAGGGAUGAAAGCUGGGGGAGCAAACCGGAUUAGAUACCCGGGUAGUCCCAGCUGUAAACGAUGCAGACUCGGUGAUGAAUAGGCUUAGUGCCUAUUCAGUGCCGCAGGGAAGCCGUUAAGUCUGCCCGCCUGGGGAUACGGUCGCAAGACUGAAACUUAAAGUAAUUGGCGGGGAGCACCACGAAGGGUGAAGCCUGCGGUUC